AGGUUUCUACUUUAUCCUUUUCCAUAGACAGACAAAGAUUUGUUUCUGCGCAGUAGUGCGUGAAAAAAGAGAAAUCACCGCCUAAAUAUGUCGUCAACAUCCGCAUAUCAAUUUGGAAUUAACAACAAAAACGGCGGCUGCAAAGAAUUUAACUCCCGACUAGUAGACUUCACUGAAAUGUAAGUGAUAAUACAAUAUAAGUAAUAAUAGCGACAUACUGCAUAGUCAGAUUAAAUUGAGAUAUUAAUAAAUAUGUUAG